rnacentral:rRNA from 1 species
UCUGGUUGAUCCUGCCAGUAAAUAUAUGCUCUUUUCUAUGAUUAAGCCAUGCAUGUUUAUGUUCAUACAGUGAUAACAGUGAGACUGCGGAAGGCUCAGUAAAUCAGUUAUAAUCUAUUUGAUUGUACCACCCAUUGGAUAACCGUGGGAAAUCUAGAGCUAAUACAUGCACAUUAUUUGGAGGCGUUGCAAGACGACUUCAAGGCAUUUAUUGGACCAAUACCAACUGUGAGUGUGGGGGUCAAACCCCUUAUUCACAAGGUGAAUCUAGAUAACUUUGCUGAUCGCAUGGCCUUGAGCCAGUGACAUUUCAAUUGAAUUUCUGCCCUAUCAACUUGUUGGUAAGGUAGUGGCUUACCAAGGUUGCAACGGGUAACGGGGAAUCAGGGUUCGAUUCCGGAGAGGGAGCCUGAGAAAUGGCUACCACAUCCAAGGAAGGCAGCAGGCGCGAAAAUUACCCAAUCCAGACACUGGGAGGUGGUGACGAGAAAUACUAGUGAGUAUCCCAAAAGGAUACUCAUCUGGAAUGGACGCAAUUUAAGAAAUUCGUUGAGUAACAACUGGAGGGCAAGUCUGGUGCCAGCAGCCGCGGUAAUUCCAGCUCCAGUAGUGUAUUUUAACGUUGCUGCGUUUAAAACGCUCGUAGUUGGAUCACGCAGUGCGAGUCAGUCGGUUUACCCAGCUUCACAUUAUAACUGUUGCGCUGUUUUUCUUCUAUGGUUUCCAUAGUUGGAAGGGCAGUGUGGCGGUGUGUUGCGUGUAAAUUAUCAGCUGACCCGCACUACUUGUACGUGAGGAUGGCGGUUGACCUUUAGUGCGUUGACUGUUCGUGUCUCACGGAGUGUGCCUUGAAUAAAUCAGAGUGCUCAAAGCAGGCGUAUGCAUGAAUGUUAAUAGCAUGGAACGAACAAUUGUGUCAAAUGUGGACUAUGAUUGGUUGUAGGUGGAUUUGUUCUGCCUAUUAAUUGAUUGUGGUUUACAACACCAACCCACAAUAACGGAUGUUGGUUUCCGUGUUGGGGUGAUGAUUAAAAGGAGCGAUUGGGGGCAUUGGUAUUUGGCCGCGAGAGGUGAAAUUCUUGGACCGGUCAAGGACUAACAAAUGCGAAGGCAUUUGCCAAGAUCGUUUCCAUUAAUCAAGAACGACAGUCCGAGGUUCGAAGACGAUCAGAUACCGUCUUAGUUCGGACCGUAAACUAUGCCGACCCGGGAUCAGUUUAGAGCUUAUUACGCUCGAGGUUGGUCCCCCUGGGAAACCUAAAGUUUUUUGGUUACGGGGGGAGUAUGGUUGCAAGGCUGAAACUUAAAGGAAUUGACGGAAGGGCACCACCAGGGGUGGAGCCUGCGGCUUAAUUUGACUCAACACGGGAAAACUCACCUGGUCCGGACAUCGAAAGGAUAGACAGACUGAUAGAUCUUUCUUGAUACGGUGGUUGGUGGUGCAUGGCCGUUCUUAGUUCGUGGAGUGAUCUGUCAGGUUGAUUCCGGUAACGGACGAGAUCAGCGUCUCCAUUUAAGUGCUGCAAGAUACUGUAGUGUGGUAGAAAUACUGUGCUACGGUUUUGGUGGUGAGAGCGUACCAGUGUUCUGACUCUUAUUCUGAGAGUGGGCAACCACUUGAGGGGUAGGGGAAAAGAAUGUUGUGGAAAGUCUCACUCCCUUGCAAUAAACGGAUGGUCGUAAGAUCAUCUGUCUUAUGGAGAGACAACGGGCAUAUACAAAGCUCGAGGAAGAUUGGCGAUAACAGGUCUGUGAUGCCCUUAGAUGUCCAGGGCUGCACGCGCGCUACAAUGAUAACGACAGCGAGAGUCUGGGUUGUCAAACUUGGGUAAUCUUGUGAAUCGUUAUCGUGAUGGGGAUUGAUCGUUGUAAUUAUCGGUCAUGAAAGAGGAAUCCCUUGUAUGUGCACUUCAUUACAGUGUAUAGAACGCGUCCCUGCCCUUUGUACACACCGCCCGUCGCUACUACCGAGUGAAUGGUGUCAUGAUGCCUUGGGACUGGACGUUGCUUGACUCUUUACGGAGUUGUAGUGAUGCUGGGAUCAAUGUAAAAUGGCGCAAUUUCGAGGAAGUAAAAGUCGUAACAAGGUUUCCGUAGGUGAACCUGCGGAAG